UUAGAACCUUCUAGAGAUAAGUUUCUAGAACCUUCUAGAAGCAAGUCUCUGGAACCUUCUAGAAGCUUCCUAGUUGGUAGAAGUUACUUGAGAAGCUUCCUAAAUAGGAGUAUAUAUUGGAAUCGAGGCUGAAGAGUUCUUCAAUCUCGACAACACAUCUCUUGGAGCUCUAGUUCACCUCUCUAGUGUUGUUCUUGUAUUCAUCUGAUUAAUCUAGUUCUUGCCAGUUCUUCUUGAACUUCUUGUUAGAUCUCGAGUCUGUAUUUCUAUGUCUAUGAUAGUUUGUCGAGACUUCACUCACCUCACAUAUCAGAGUUAGUUUCUUCUUCGUUAGAGUGCGGAUUACCCCUCUGCUUGAAAGUGUACUAGCAUUUUAGAGGUUGCGGAUUACCCUCCUCUAAACUGAUAUUUCUUUUGUUACAAUAUUGGAGUCUUAUUCUUCUUGGAGAGAGUGGAUUAUCCCUUUUCUUGAUGCUCUUAAGGCAUUUUAGAGGUUGCGGAGUAUCCUCCUCUAAACCAAUAUUGUCUUCUUGUAGAGUCAUUUCUGUCCUUCUCUUAGAAUGGCUGGAGGCC
rnacentral:lncRNA from 1 species